rnacentral:rRNA from 1 species
UACGUAGGCAGCAAGCGUUGUUCGGAAUUACUAGGCGUAAAGAGUGUGUAGGCGGUGCUCUAAGUCUGUUGUGAAAUCUCCCGGCUUAACCGGGAGGGUGCAGCGGAAACUGGUGUGCUCGAGGGUGGGAGAGGUAAGCGGAAUUCCUGGUGUAGCGGUGAAAUGCGUAGAUAUCAGGAGGAACACCUGUGGUGUAGACAGCUUACUGGACCACUUCUGACGCUGAGACACGAAAGCGUGGGUAGCAAACAGG